GAUUUCUGAGCCUGGUCUACGUUGCCUCAAAGCUUCGGUUUUGAGUGUGAUUGUGAUCGGUUCAUCCUUCUAGAGAACUUUACUGGCUCUUAACUGGGUUGGUAAGGCAAUCUAGAUCUUUUACUUUGAAAAAAUUAGAGUGUUUAAAGCAGGCUUUUGCUAUGAAUACAUUAGCAUGGAAUAAUAAUUUAGGACUUUGUUCUUAUUUUGUUGGUUUCUAAGGAUAAAGUAAUGAUUGAUAGGGAUAGUUGGGGGUGCUGAUAUUCAGUGGCCAGAGGUGAAAUUCUUGGAUUCACUGAAGAUCAACUAAUGCGAAAGCAUU
rnacentral:rRNA from 1 species